UCCACCUACAAAAAAGAUAAGCAUUUGUAUUGAGUGUGGAUGUGUUGGUCUUUGUAUUGAGUGUGGAUGUGUUGGUCUUUGUAUUGAGUGUGGAUGUGUUGGUCUUUGUGUUGGGUGUAGAUGUGUUGAAGGUUGGUCUUUGUGUUGGGUGUAGAUGUGUUGAAGGUUGGUCUUUGUGUUGGGUGUAGAUGUGUUGAAGGUUGGUCUUUGUGUUGGGUGUAGAUGUGUUGAAGGUUGGUCUUUGUGUUGGGUAUAGAUGUGUUGAAGAUUAGCAUUUGUAUUGAGUGUAGAUGUGCUGAGUGUUGGUAUUUGUAUUGAGUGUACAUGUGUUGGUCUUUUUGUUAGGUGUAGAUGUGUUGUGUGUUGGUCUUUGUGUUGAGUGUAGAUGUGUUGUGUGUUGGUCUUUGUGUUGGGUGUAGAUGUGUUGAUGGUUGGGUGUAGAUGUGUUGAUGGUUGGGUGUAGAUGUGUUGAUGGUUGUGUGUAGAUGUGUUGAUGGCUGUGUGUAGAUGUGUUGAUGGUUGGGUGUAGAUGUGUUCUGUGUUGUGUGUAGAUGUGUUGUGUGUAGAUGUGUUGAUGGUUGGGUGUAGAUGUGUUCUGUGUUGUGUGUAGAUGUGUUGUGUGUAGAUGUGUUGAUGGUUGGGCAUACAGCACUAAAUAUUACCAUGACUACAUGAAGUCUCUACCUUGGUAACAACACAUUUAACAAAACAAGUCAAUCUCAGAGACCGUAAGGAUUUUGUCUGUAAUAUCAGGCUAUAUAUUGUAUUACUGUCUCAUUUAUAGAUUUAUAUGAUCCUCCUACUCCUUCCUCUCAACCUCCUCUUCAUGCACCUCCUACUCUUUCCUGUCUUCUUUCUCCCUCUCCUCCUUCUCCUCUUCAUGUUCCUCCAAUAGCACCUCUGCCUCCUACUAGUGAAGGAGCGAGCCCACAGAUCAUUUAGCAGGGUUUCGAUGACCUCAGCUUGUAGGGAGAAGGGCGGCUGAGAAGGGUCUUGUUCAAAACACUGUGACUCACUCUCACCAACACACAGAUGCAUAUUCAGUAACCAUCCACUCAGCUCGAUAACACCGACAUCCCCUGGCCAGCCACCAGAACAUUUCUUUGUAAGCUGUUUUGGUAGCCUCUCUUUCCUCUGCCUCCCUCUCUCGUUCUUCCUGUCUCUCUGCCGUGUUUCGAUUUCCCUCUCCCCUCUGUCUACCCCAGUAACUCUCUCCUUCCCUCUCGCUCUCUCUCCUUUCUCUUUUUCUCUCAGUUCUGAUUGUGUUCAUCAUAGAGGAGCCAGUCAGUUGUGUGAAGUGAGGAAGGACAGUCUCACAAAUCACACUCUGAAUCACAACUUUUUUCCUUCCUUACCCUUUUCUUUUCCCUCUCCAUCCAUAUCUCCACCUCUCUCCCCCACCUCCUUCCUACACCUUCUCUCUCCCCCACCUCCUUCCUACACCUUCUCUCUC
ensembl:lncRNA